UUAGUGCUCUCGAUCCUAACACUCUUACACUAUCGAAAGAGAAUGAACCGAAAGUCUAGUCAUUACUUGAAUGAAUAAAUACAUGUACAAAUUUGGCUUGAAUUUAUUGGUAUUUUAAUGAAGUAGAGGGCUCGUAGGAUGAAUAAAUUCAUGUACAAAUUCGAUGCUUGAAUUUGAUGGUAUUUUAAUGAAAUUGAGGAAUACGA
rnacentral:lncRNA from 1 species